rnacentral:rRNA from 1 species
UUGUGGUAGCCCACAAAAUAUUGGGACAUAUAAAAAAAGACAACUCUGUUCUGCAGAGUAGCUGUUGACAUUAUAGUUGCACAGGCACUUUGUUGACUCUAGAGAACCUUGGGCCAAUCGCACAUUCCCGUGACGGCGAUUUUGCAUUCGGAUGUCAUCCAUAUCAACUUUUGAUGCCAGUUUCUGCGCCUACCAUGGUGACCACAGGUAACUGGGAAUCAGGGUUCCAUUCCGUACAGGGACCCUGAGAAACGGCUACCACAUGCAAGGAAGGCAGCAGGCGCGCAAAUGGCCCACUCCCGACGCGGGAAGGUAGUGACGA